UGGCUCAGGAUGAACGCUGGCGGCGUGCUUAACACAUACAAGUCGAACGAUGAAGCCAGCUUGCUGGUGGAUUAGUGGCGAACGGGUGAGUAACACGUGAGUAACCUGCCCUUGACUCUGGGAUAAGCCUGGGAAACUGGGUCUAAUACCGGAUAUGACUCCUCAUCGCAUGGUGGGGGGUGGAAAGCUUUUUGUGGUUUUGGAUGGACUCGCGGCCUAUCAGCUUGUUGGUGAGGUAAUGGCUCACCAAGGCGACGACGGGUAGCCGGCCUGAGAGGGUGACCGGCCACACUGGGACUGAGACACGGCCCAGACUCCUACGGGAGGCAGCAGUGGGGAAUAUUGCACAAUGGGCGAAAGCCUGAUGCAGCGACGCCGCGUGAGGGAUGACAGCCUUCUGGUUGUAAACCUCUUUCAGUAUGGAAGAAGCGAAAGUGACGGUACCUGCAGAAGAAGCGCCGGCUAACUAC
rnacentral:rRNA from 1 species